GGGUCUUUAGCUCAGUAGGUAGAGCAUCGGACUUUUAAUCCGCAGGUAGCAGGUUCGAUCCCCGCAGGACCCA
rnacentral:tRNA from 1 species